rnacentral:rRNA from 1 species
AGCGAACGCUGGCGGCAUGCUUAACACAUGCAAGUCGCACGGUCAGCAAUGGCAGUGGCGGACGGGUGAGUAACGCGUAGGUAUCUAUCCACGGGUGGGGGAUAACGUCGGGAAACUGACGCUAAUACCGCAUGAUGCCUGAGGGCCAAAGGCGCGAGUCGCCUGUGGAGGAGCCUGCGUACGAUUAGCUAGUUGGUGGGGUAAAGGCCUACCAAGGCGACGAUCGUUAGCUGGUCUGAGAGGAUGAUCAGCCACAUUGGGACUGAGACACGGCCCAAACUCCUACGGGAGGCAGCAGUGGGGAAUAUUGGACAAUGGGGGCAACCCUGAUCCAGCAAUGCCGCGUGUGUGAAGAAGGUCUUCGGAUUGUAAAGCACUUUCGGCGGGGACGAUGAUGACGGUACCCGCAGAAGAAGCCCCGGCUAACUUCGUGCCAGCAGCCGCCGUAAAAC